UGGGGAAUAUUGGACAAUGGAGGGAACUCUGAUCCAGCAAUUCUGUGUGUGUGAAGAAGGUUUUAGGACUGUAAAACACUUUUAGUAGGGAAGAAAAAAAUGACGGUACCUACAGAAGAAGCAACGGCUAAAUACGUGCCAGCAGCCGCGGUAAUACGUAUGUUGCGAGCGUUAUCCGGAAUUAUUGGGCUUAAAGGGCAUCUAGGCGGUAAGACAAGUUGAAGGUGAAAACCUGUGGCUCAACCAUAGGCUUGCCUACAAAACUGUUGAACUAGAGUACUGGAAAGGUGGGUGGAACCACACGAGUAGAGGUGAAAUUCGUAGAUAUGUGUAGGAAUGCCGAUGAUGAAGAUAACUCACUGGACAGAAACUGACGCUGAAGUGCGAAAGCUAGGGGAGCAAACAGG
rnacentral:rRNA from 1 species